GUUUACAAUGCAAGUCGAACGGAAACGAAAAUAGCUUGCUAUUUGGCGUCGAGUGGCGAACGGGUGAGUAACGCGUAGGAAUCUACCCAGUAGAGGGGGAUAGCCCGAAGAAAUUCGGAUUAAUACCGCAUAAUCUCUACGGAGUAAAGAAGGCCUCUUUACAAUGCUUUUACUAUUGGAUGAGCCUGCGUUAGAUUAGUUAGUUGGUAGGGUAAAAGCCUACCAAGGCGACGAUCUAUAGCUGGUUUUACGAGAAUGAUCAGCCACACUGGAACUGAGACACGGUCCAGACUCCUACGGGAGGCAGCAGUGAAGAAUAUUGGACAAUGGGGGAAACCCUGAUCCAGCAAUGUUGCGUGUGUGAAGAAGGUCCGAGGAUUGUAAAGCACCUUCAGUAAGCAAGAAAAAUGUAAAUCUAAUAGAUUUGCAUGUUGACCACUUAUAGAAGAAGCACCGGCUAACUCCGUGCCAGCAGCCGCGGUAAUACGGAGGGUGCGAGCGUUAAUCGGAAUUACUGGGCGUAAAGGGUAAGUAGGCGGUUUAUAAAGUCACAUGUGAAAACCCUA
rnacentral:rRNA from 1 species